rnacentral:ncRNA from 1 species
AAAGAUUUAGUCCUAGUCUUACUGUUACUUCUUACUGAAUCUACACAUGCAAGUCUCCGCACACCAGUGAGGAACGCCAAAAUCACUUCAAAGUGAUUUUAGAGCCGGUAUCAGGCACACCAAUAGUAGCCCAAGACGCCCAGCACAGCCACACCCACAAGGGUACUCAGCAGUGAUAAACAUUAAGCAAUAAGUGAAAGCUUGACUUACUUACAGUAAAUACAGGGCUGGUAAACCUUGUGCCAGCCACCGCGGUUAUACAAGGAGCCCGAAACAACAGUCAAUCGGCGUAAAAUGUGGCUAGGGACUAUCCAAAAAACCUAAGGUAAACCUAUAGACCUCUUAGUCAAAUAAUCGAGUCCAACGAUACCACAGUGUGAAAACAACCUUAUCUCAAAGGAUUUCUUGAACCCACGAUAGCUAAGACACAAACUGGGAUUAGAUACCCCACUAUGCUUAGCCCUAAACAUUGAUAUCUAUUUACAUAGACAUCCGCCAGAGAACUACGAGCAACCGCUUGAAACUCAAAGGACUUGGCGGUGUCUUAAACCCAUCUAGAGGAGCCUGUUCUAUAAGCGACAACACACGAUAAACCUUACCACCUCUCGCCAUCAGCCUAUAUACCGCCGCCGCCAGCCUACCUUGUGAAAGCACAUAAGUAAGCGAAAUAGUAUAAACCACUAAUAAGUCAGGUCCAGGUGUAGCCAAUGAGGUGGCAGAAAUGGGCUACAUUUUCUAAAAUAGAAAUAUUUAACGGAGAGACUCCUGAAAUAAGAUCUCUAAAGCAGGAUUUAGCAGUAAUUUUGGAAUAGAGAGCCAAAAUGAAACAGGCAAUGAGACACGUACAUACCGCCCGUCACCCUCCUCGAAAAACAAACCAAACUAAAUAAAACGCUACACAAAUAGAGAGGAGGCAAGUCGUAACAAGGUAAGUGUACCGGAAGGUGUACUUGGAAUAAG